AUGGGAAUUACAUCCACCCAAAGCCUGUAGAAAACUUAAAAGUGCUUUAAAUAAAAUACUUCAAAGAAGGUGCUCAGUAACAGUGUGCCUGUCCUAACAACCAGUUGCCUUGCAUAUCUUUCAUAACUACUCACUCUGUAACAAAUCAUUUCUAAGAGCAUGAAGGCUGGGUUUCAGUGGUUUGCCAUCAUCAAGCCCCAUGAAGACUUUCUGGACAAAGGUGAAUGUGUGAACUAGUUUCCUGGGGUAGUCCAAAUGCAGAGCAUAGAUCAAGCCAAACAAUAAGGCAUAUGCAUCAGCAAAUCUGGCAAUAUCACGGAUCACCAAGUCGCCUUCCACCACAACAGCCAUGCUUGAAGGACUGAAAUGGACUGGACUGGUCUCAGCAGAGCCGUCAGCAACCACUGUGAGAAGGGCAACUGGAGUGUCAGUCAGGUUCGUCUCAUCCAGCGUGCCCGCCUGGAAUAAACACAGUAUCAAUAAGUAAGGUUGACUUGAAGGGCCGUGACAAGCAUUAUUUGUAAUCUAGCAAAAUAUUCUGCAGUCUUGUGGGUAACACGUUAGUGACACAUCAAGAGUCCUCUAUUUACUAUUCUUUUAGAAAAUGUGUAAAUUAAUUAAUUAGAUUUGUGUGUUUAUAGCAACUAGGGUUGGGUAUCGAGCGGGAGACGAAGGCGGGCAAAACAGGAAAGGAAUCUAGUAGCGGACGGACAUUGUUCCGGGUCUUCGGUAAUUGGCGGAGAUGUUAGUGAAGGCGGAGAAGAGGGCGAACUAGAGGAAAAACAGGCAGAUUCCUCCUCUAUUUACAAACUCCUGGGGAUGCAACAAGUGGGCAUGGUGCGUCGACUACUGGAUCUGACGUCAACGAAUUUUUAGAAUCAAGCCGUCGACGUCAUCAACGCUUUGCUACAAAUCUACCAACAGGUAUGGUUUUGUUGGUGCGUUAACGCAAAACUGCAGUAAAACAUAAGUCGGAGAAACAGGAUGCCAACUCAUCACAUGAAAAAGAGAACAUCAAAAAGAAUGUGAGAAAGAAACAAAACGAAGACACAGGAGAGCAACAAAACAGGAAGCAGAAAGUUUGUGCCCCUGCCCCGCGAAAUAGGAAAAUGAGCGCCGACCAGAAUUAACGAGUAGCGUUUAGACUACCGCGUUCUUGCUUCAAAUUUAAGGAAGUACCUGGCUGAUGCAGAGUUGAUGAACUUUUCAUGGACAAGUGUUUAAAAUAUAAAUAUAUGAAAACACAUCAUGACAUGAGAAUAAUACCUGUAAAACAACGUGUUUUAGCUCUGCUUGUCAGCUACAGAAGAACAUUUAUAAACAUAAGACGUACAGUCGCCAUCUUAAAAAAACGGGGCGACGGAAUUCUGGUGUAAUAUGCAUGUUCACUACAGUGGACGGUACCGCGGUAUGCGUGCGUCUUCCAUGGUGAAAUAUCCAUCAGAAGAACGCAUCACAUUUGUCCCUGUCCUCGUCUUGAAUUAAAUAAACGUUAAUUUUACCAGGUAAAAACACAUUCGCUGUAAACCUGAGGGUUGCUAGUCCGUUUGAUUGAUAGCUGUAGUUCAUCUCCGUCCUCAGUCUCAAUCAACGUUAUUUGAAAAAAAAAUAAAGAAAUGAGUUGACUUUACAUCCUUCUGUUAGUGCAGCUGGCCACGUAGCAAGUUGUUACCAUUUUACUGUGAAACCAAGUAAAUAAAAGCGAUAAAGGGCUACAACGGGCUUGUUUUGACUAGCUUCACUGGAAUUUUGACGUGUAAACGGUCUUUUUGCCGACCAUCAUGGAGAACGGGGCAGUCUCGUGCAAAGGGUCAAUAGCGAAAUCAGGGUUUCUGUGUGUGCGCAAUCUAUUUGGGUUUGCCUCCUCCCACCCCCAUUUGUGACACACACACCCUAAUUUGAGCCCAGGUUUGAUCCCCCCCAACACACAAGUCUAAUGCAAUGUUUGUUAAAGCAAUUGUGAAGCUGCUUUGUAAUAAAACCAUAUAAAAUAAUCCAUGGUAUUGUAACCCAGAAGCUAGAACCUUAAUGAGGUAUUAACUAAUUGGCUUACUAAUAUGAUCCAUCCUCAAUUUAGAUAAAAUAUAAAAUAUAAAUUAAGGAAAUUAACAAUACUAAUUAAUAGAUAUCUAAUUAACUAAUAGAUAAUUUCAUAAUGAAUUAUUGGAAGGGUGAAUAACUAAAAUAACGAGUUUAAUAUUAAACAUCGGUUAAAACAAGAAUCUUGAACAUCACUAACAGAAACAGAAGAGGAAAGCUGUAUACUAUUGGUCCAGGUGGGAAUCUGAAAUUUCAUUGGCUGAGAGAAAUAAGUCCCGCCUCCGCGAAAUAAAACCGUGCGACGCAGCUGAGCGAGAGGAGAGACAAACGGCUGUGCAGCACGCAGAUACAGAAAGCAAAGACUGAGCGGUUAGAGAGAGAGAGAGAGAAAAAAAAAACAACGGUCGAGGCCGUGAAGAACCCUGAUUUGGGUGCCGCAUAGAUAGAGGGAGAGGCGGACUUGACUCCUUCUAAUAAGAGCUAGGAACUUGGAACCAACGCGGUGAGUAAAGAAAAAAGAAGAGAAAAAGCUAACGAUGCAACUUAAAAAAAAAAGGGAAACUUAAAUAGCUUAUCAAAUUAAUUCCAUUCUUAUAGAUUUGUGUGGAGACGACAGAGUGAACCAAUCCUCUGUAGGAGGGAACCGUUGGAGCGCGUUGGCUGGGUUUUUUUUUUUUUCCUUGGGUUUGAUCCCGACUCCUAUGAUCACUCACUUGGAACGAGAACUGGAUUUCUUCCUGACGAGGGAGAUGGCGAGCCUUAACCACUGAACGAACCAGGACAUCUCAAGUAACUGAAGAGCAGACUGCUCUCUUCUGUGAACAAUCUCAACGGUGUGGUAGGAAAAAAUCGCACCACCGGACUCUGACUUUCACCCCAAGCGUGGGGAUUUGACUUGACGCCGGCUGACUUGUGACUCAUAUGAUCAAAUCUCAUACCGAGCAUUUUACUAUUGUCGAUUGUUUUCAUCUGUUUUUGUGUGUUAUCUUUAUGUGUUAUAUUUCCCAUUAUUAUUAAAAUUUAGUAUAUAAACCGU